AACCAGGAGGUCAAGUUGUGUAUUAAUGGUAAAAAGACAGUUAGACAAAACAAUGGGUUUAAUUCAUCGUGUUAUUAGGAGGUAGAAUUCGAAUAUAGACGGAUAUAUUAAUUAAAACUAAUGUGUUGAAGCUGUGACAACUUUGAGGGAAACUAGGAUUAGAUACCCUAUUAUUCAUAGAUAUAAAUAAGAAAGUUCUACCGGAGUACUAAGAAUAAAAAAUUUAAAACUCAAAGGGCUUGGCGGUGUUUUAGACUACUUAGGGGAACCUGUCUCAUAAUCGACAAUCCACGUUAAACCUAACCUUUUCUUGCACUCAGCUUGUAUACCGUCGUCGCCAGGUAACUUUUAAGAUAAAAAAAGUUAGCUAAUUAAAUAUUUAAGUUAAGACGUCAGAUCAAGGUGCAGCUUAUGAAGGGGUGUAGAUGGGUUACAAUUAUUAUACUUAUAAUUACGGAUAACAACUUUAAAGGUAAUUAGUAAGGAGGACUUAAAAGUAAAACAGAUUAUAUAAGCAUUUUGAAUAAAGCUCUGAAACGUGC
rnacentral:rRNA from 1 species